AGAGUUUGAUCAUGGCUCAGAUUGAACGCUGGCGGCGUGCCUAACACAUGCAAGUCGAGCGGUAACAGGUGUAGCAAUACAUGCUGACGAGCGGCGAACGGGUGAGUAAUGCUUUGGAAUCUUCCCAGUAGUGGGGAAUAACCAGUCGAAAGAUUGGCUAAUACCGCAUACGUCUGUAAAGGGAAAGCGGGGGCUCGUAAGACCUCGCGCUAUUGGAUGAGCCAAAGUCGGAUUAGCUAGUUGGUGGGGUAAUGGCCUACCAAGGCGACGAUCCGUAGCUGGUCUGAGAGGACGACCAGCCACACCGGAACUGAGACACGGUCCGGACUCCUACGGGAGGCAGCAGUGGGGAAUAUUGGACAAUGGGGGAAACCCUGAUCCAGCGACGCCGCGUGUGUGAAGAAGGCCUGCGGGUUGUAAAGCACUUUUAGUGGGGACAAAAAGCUACGGACUAAUACUCUGUGGUCUUGAUUUAACCCAAAGAAAAAGCACCGGCUAACUCUGUGCCAGCAGCCGCGGUAAUACAGAGGGUGCGAGCGUUAAUCGGAAUUACUGGGCGUAAAGCGCGCGUAGACGGUUUUGUAAGUCAGAUGUGAAAUCCCUGGGCUCAACCUGGGAACUGCAUUUGAGACUGCAUGGCUAGAGUAUGGAAGAGGGAAGUGGAAUUUCCGGUGUAGCGGUGAAAUGCGUAGAUAUCGGAAGGAACACCAGUGGCGAAAGCGACUUCCUGGUCCAAUACUGACGUUCAUGUGCGAAAGCGUGGGGAGCAAACAGGAUUAGAUACCCUAGUAGUCC
rnacentral:rRNA from 1 species